rnacentral:tRNA from 1 species
AUUUAGAUAGAUUAAAUAAAUCAUAUUAUUGAAGAUAAUAAAAUAGGUGAACCUUCUAAAUA